GGAAAGACAGGUUUUAUCUCAGCACCUGUCUGCAAUUUUCCUUGGCGCACACCCAGGGUGGAAGUGCACUCACAGGCUUUGGCACCGCCAGGACUGUUCUCCAGAGAGGCAGCACCGUUUGCACCCCUGCGGUAGUGUGUGAGGUUCCAGUCUCCCCACACAGCAGUGUACACCCCUGCAGUAGUGUGAGGGUCCAGUCUCCCCACACAGCAGUGUACACCCCUGCGGUAGUGUGUGAGGUCCACUCUCCCCACACAGCAGUGUACACCCCUGCAGUAGUGUGUGAGGUCCACUCUCCCCACACAGCAGUGUACACCCCUGCAGUAGUGUGUGAGGUCCAGUCUCUCCACACAGCAGUGUACACCCCUGCAGUAGUGUGUGAGGUCCAGUCUCUCCACACAGCAGUGUACGCCCCUGCAGUAGUGUGUGAGGUCCACUCUCCCCUCACCUUGCCCAUCACCU